rnacentral:rRNA from 1 species
GGUAAUACCGAAUACGAUCGUCGAACUAUGGUUUGACGAUGAAAGGGGCUACGGCUCCGCCUUAAGAUGGGCCCGCGUCCCAUUAGCUAGUUGGCGGUGUAACUGACCACCAAGGCGAAGAUGGGUAGCCGGCCUGAGAGGGUGAACGGCCACAUUGGGACUGAGAUACGGCCCAAACUCCUACGGGAGGCAGCAGCUAAGAAUAUUCCGCAAUGGGCGAAAGCCUGACGGAGCGACGCCGCGUGGAUGACGAAGGCCGAAAGGUUGUAAAAUCCUUUUGCAGACGAAGAAUAAGGCUGGCAGGGAAUGGCCAGUUGAUGACGUUAGUCUGCGAAUAAGCCCCGGCUAAUUACGUGCCAGCAGCCGCGGUAACACGUAAGGGGCAAGCGUUGUUCGGAAUUAUUGGGCGUAAAGGGCGCGUAGGCGGCCAUGUAAGUCUGAUGUGAAAACCCCGGGCUCAACCCGGGAACUGCAUUGGAAACUGCAAGGCUUGAGUCACGGAGGGGGAAUCGGAAUUCCUAGUGUAGGGGUGAAAUCUGUAGAUAU